rnacentral:rRNA from 1 species
UACGUAGGCCCCGAGCGUUAUCCGGAAUUACUGGGUGUAAAGCGUUCGUAGGCUGUUAAGCAAGUCAAAUAUGAAAGACCGGAGCUCAACUUCGUGUUUGUAUUUGAGACUGCUUGACUAGAAUAUGGGAGAGGUAAGCGGAAUUCUAAGUGUAGGGGUGCAAUCCGUAGAUACUUAGAGGAACACCAAAAGCGAAGGCAGCUUACUGGAACAUAAUUGACGCUGAGGAACGAAAGCGUGGGUAGCGAAAAGG